CAUGAUUUUAUUAAACAUACAGUCACAUAGGCCCCUCCCUGAUCAAGUCCCAGUAUAAUAGGCAGCACCUCCCUCCUAUCUCCCUCUUUUUUAAGAUGCGACACCGUAAAAUAAAGUCCGUAAACAGGAACACCAAUAGCGUCCAGUGAGAAGAAAACGCAGAACUUCCGGACCAAAACAUAGGAUUAUCGAUUCAAUAACAGGGAAGUACAUCGGAACGACAGCAGAACAAACUCCAUCCACAAGGGCAGUCCUCACAUGCAGAAAAACUUGACCGGUUCAGAUCAGGCUGUGAAAACAUAAAGAACAGGAGCCCAAGGGUUAAAUCAGUACUUGAGACUAACAUCAGGGCCAGGCGAUGCAAAGCCCCACAUACCUCCCCAGUCUUAAAACCAGGUAGACCCGAACUCCCCUUAGUUACUCAACCAAAUCCCCCUACUACACAGGCCCCACUUACUGUACCAACGAGUCCAUACAUUUCCCCUACAUAUCAAAACAAACUGGGCGGGAAAAAUAAAGAACAUAAAGUGAGAAGUGCAAUACGGGCGGGACAAUACUCACCUCAGUGUCUUUAAUAAAAUCAUGACUCUUCGUCAUGUAAUAGACACAGUAGAUAGUAGCUUCUACUUGAAGAAGCCUGUUAAGGCGAAACGCGUUUAGUUAUUAAUAGAUUUUGUUCUUAAUUUUAAAAUAACGAUAUUUUAUUGGCAUAAAAUACUUUAUUGCCAUUUGCUUUCUCCUUUACCUGAUUUUACAUACAUUUUCUUUUAAUUGAUUUUACGUAUACGGCUCACCCUGCAGGAAGUGCAAAGAAUCCAUAGGUGGGGAUUUUACCACCCGAGCGCCUUCACUGAGCAGUUUUGAGUCUGCUCUACUUUACGUGAGUAGUAUACUUUACUUUCUUUUAGUUUUGGAUUACAUACAGUGAGCACUAUAUAUUUUAUUUCAUUUUUUCCUCUGGGUCGUAUUACGUCAAAUUGAACGCUGAACCCACGUCCGAUAUUCAACUAUUAAAAUUCACUCUAUAUAUCCUUGAAGUGGGGAUCAUUCCACUUUACGCGAGCAAUAACAGAGCUGAUCCUAGCUCUGAAAAGUGUGAGUAAGACUGAUUUUAUACUUUUAUAUUUAUUUUAUACACCGAUUUACUGUGCCAUUGGAGUCCUGUUUUUAUUUUUCUCUCCACAUAUGCUGAAUUUUCAACAUUUGAAGAUACGAUCCCAUCUACACCCUAAAGAAUAUUCCUUUACAAGUGGGACCUACCCUCACAGACUGUGAUAAGCCUAUUUUAUUGGACUAUUGUUUUAUUACUUAUUUUAUUCUGUAUUUUAUCUGACUAAUUUAGUCCUUUAUUUUAUCAAGUUUUAGGCGCAUCCUUAUAUCUUUGUUUGUUCUUGCUAUCUGUUACCAUUAGGGGAUUAUUGGGGACUCAUCUUUGAGAAGUGCUGCCUUUCCUAAUAAUUUUAUUGUGGCAAUUUAGCGCAGUUUUUUUCUCUUUUUCCAAGAAAAGGUGAGUAACAAUGAAAAACAGAUUAAGCCCGGAAGGGGCGAAAAAGGAGAAAGGAGAAACAACAUCCAAAGUAUAGGGGAUAUCAAUCAUACUGGUCUGUGAACCUGAACAGUCAAGUAAAGACAAUACCAUAUAUAGUGGAACAUACGUAAUAGUAAAUAUAUAUAUAUAAGUAUAUAAAUAUAAACAUAAAAAUAUAUAGAAGAUCUACAACAAUAACCACCGAGAUAAAAAGUGUACUUAUCUGACUGUGGCGCAGCAAAGAAAGAGGGAGAUAGGAGGGAGGUGCUGCCUAUUAUACUGGGACUUGAUCAGGGAGGGGUCUAUGUUACUGUAUGUUCAUAAUUUUUUCAUUCUGUUUAUACAAUAACCACCGAGAUAAAAAGUGUACUUAUCUGACUGUGGAGCAGAUAAGAAAGAGGGAGAUAGGAGGGAGGUGCUGCCUAUUAUACUGGGACGUGAUCAGGGAGGGGUCUAUGUUACCGUAUGUUCAUUAUUUUUUCAUUCUGUUUAUAUCCUUUGCUGCUAUUGGUGGACAGUAAAGAAAGGGAUAUGCAAUAUUAGCCUCCGUGUCUUGUUAUAAAAUCCAAAUUACACACACUCACAUGGAGGAGAGCCAGCUAGGAUAGGCUCAAAUCUCAUUCAUUUGCGUGUACUUAGGUUACACAAUCCCUCUUCUUUUUAACUCAGAUAUCCUCAAGUAGAGGGAAGAGAAAAUGAAAGGAGGGAGAUGGAAGCAAUAAAGAGCCUAGUGCAGUAUAUUCAAAUAAAUUAAAUCGGAAAGUGCAAUGUGCAAAUGGCUUUGUCUCUUAAUAAGAGCUUGAACAUGGCUAUAGAUGCAAGAGCAUAUGUGCCUUUAAGAGGGCUACCACUCUUCUUUAAACAGCAGCAGAAGAGGAUCCAUUGGACUAUUAGCAUAUGCCAAAUAAGGUUAUUGUAAAUAAUAGUAAAAAACAAUAUGUAAAUAAAAUCUACAAAGAAAUACACAUGUACACUAAAGUUCUCUUGUGGUCUUCUCAUAGUAGGCGGGCCUAGCUGAUUUGUUUUAGUGUGAUUGAUGGUACGUAAGUACAUAAUGGUCAGUAUCUUUUUCAAGGUUUAUAAUUUUAAGGUGCAGGUGGUAGUGAAUUGGUGAAUUCAUUUGGUCAUAAGAAUCCAUAGAAGGCUAGAUAAGCUGCCAUUUUGAUAACCAACUCCAACUCCUCCCUAUGGUGAGGGGAAGUGGAACAGAUUACGUCACGAUAAAGGCCAAAAGCAAGGACAAAUUCGGGUAUGGUUAGCUUUCAGUUGAGUCUGGAGUCUCUGGCUUUCAAAACAACCGAAAGAUCACCAUAGCAGUAUGCCUUGUUCUCAACCACGUCCUGAGAAGCAAUCAGCAACUAGACUAGAUUUAUGUCCUUGACUUCCAGGAUGUCUUUAUGAAUGGUCGGGGGUACGAAGUAGGCGGGCGUGAUAAUGUGAGUGGAAGUAUUGGGUUUGUGGUGGUGUCAUUACCGUGGGUGGGUGCCUUAGUGGAGGUCAAUAUGUGUGGGACAACUGUCGAUGUCUGAGGAGAUUCCAGUUUGUCCAGCCUAACGCUGAUCGUAUUGAUAGAGGCAAGUAGAGAUGACAUUAAACCCUUGAUCUCUGUAUAGUUGUCGGGUUGCAGGACAACUCCAGGCUGGGGAGUACAGGUAUUGCAAAUAAAUAUUUUAUAUAGUUCGGCCUUGUGAGCUGUAGCUGGGAAAGGGACCCCCAUGCAAUGUAAUUCAUCCUCGAGCUUAGGGAUAGUCCAUGACCGCAGGGAAUAUGGGCUGGAUGGUUCCAGAUUCUCAGUAGGGGUGCUUGGACCGGCCGGGGUGGAAGGUCUGGUUGGGGUUUCAGGUGUUGCCAGUUCCUCAUCUUGUUCAGGUAUUUGAGACAUACUAAGAAUGAAAACAUGGGUAAGGAUAAUGCCUGUGUCAACUGGCUCUAGCUAAGCCUAAGUCAAAACAUUAUCUGACCUACAAGGACCUACAAGGAAGAAGGAGCCCUGCUAGUGCUAAGUGGCGAGAGAGGCUCUAUCUAUGAGAAGGGCCAAGUGGGCGGGGACCACUGAAUGAUGUAGUGGGAAUGUUGACCUCGGUGACUGUAACAAGACAUAAUAUCCUUGGGUGUGGCUUGGUGAAGUCCUACCUAGUAACCAACAGUGGUUAAUGUGAGUCUCUAGCUAUGCAUUGGACCGAGGGGCGUAUACCUCUGAUGAGGAUGGGUGUUGGCCUCACAGGAGUAGAUUAAUUACAGUAAGCUAGGGACGAAUGCUAUUAAUAACAGCCAUUUGAAAGGGGGAAUAUGAUAGAAACAUUUAAAUACAUAAAGGGAAUCAACACAGUAAAGGAGGAGACUAUAUUUAAAAGAAGAAAAACUACCACAACAAGAGGACAUAGUCUUAAAUUAGAGGCACAAAGGUUUUAAAAAUAAUAUCUGGAAGUAUUACUUUACUGAGAGGGUAGUGGAUGCAUGGAAUAGGCUUCCAGCUGAAGUACCGUGGUUAAAGGAUCACUAUAGGGUCAGGAACACAAACAUGUAUUCUUGACCCUAUAGGGUUAAAACCACCAUCUAGCCCCCCUGGACCCUCCAAAUAUAGUAAUAUCUUACUUGAAUUCUAAUCUGCAGCUGCAUAGCUUGUCACUGUUUCCUUUUGACCUGCCUCUGACCUCUGACAUCAGCAGAAGUGGUGGCCUGAUCCAAUCACAAUGCUUCCCCAUAGGAUUGGCUGAGACUGACAGAGAGGCAGAUCAGGAGUAAAGCCAGCACAAUUCAAACACAUCCCUGGCCAAUCAGCAUCUCAUAGAGAUGAAUUGAAUCAAUGAAUCUCUAUGAGGAAAGUUCAGUGUCUGCAUCAGAAGGAGAAGAUACUGAAUGUUUGGAUGGAUUUUAGGCAGCCAUGACCAAGGAAGGAUCUCUAACAGCCAUCUGAGGAGUGGCCAGUGAAGUUAUCACUAGGCUGUUAUGUAAACACUGCAUUUUCUCUGAAGGUAAUGAUUCUACUCACCAGAACAAAUUCAAUAAGCUGUAGUUUUUCUGGUGACUAUAUUGUCCCUUCAACAUAGUAAAGGAGUUUAAGCAUGCAUGGGAUAUGCAUAAGGCUGUCCUAACUAUAAGAUAAGGUCAGGGACUAAUGAAAGUAUUUAAAAAAAAUUGGCCGAAUGGUUCUUAUCUGCCUUCACAUUCUGUGUUUCUAUGAUGACCAAUCCUGUUCUGUUGGGGUACUGGGAGUAGGAUGUAAAAUGGAGAUGUACCUAGCUUAUGAAAUCGUUAGGGUUCUCUAUGGAGAAUGAUAAAUACUUGAGAACCUGAAAAGAAAAUGUGGGUUAGGCCUACAACUUUUUUAUAUAUAUAUUGUGAGUAAAACUCACCUGUGGAAAUGAUGACAGUGGUACUGUCGGGAAUUGCUAGUAGUGGUUAUCUGAGGAAAAAAACAGAGUUAUCCUCUACACAAUAUGUUAAGGUAUAAAGACAAGAGAUGAGGUGAUAUUCUGUAUACCUGUAACGUGCUGGGAGUAAGAAGCCAAUUAUUCCCCAAAGUUCUGGGGGAGAGUAGUGAUGGUAACAAAGGCCUGAAAAUAGAGUAUGGAUGAGAACAUGAGGGAACAUGUGGUCACUCUCAUGCGUUCCAAGUAAAUACAAAGGAGGGAAUUGGACAUUACGGUGAGGGAUAAGCUUGAGUGUGCUAGAGUUGUUUAGCGGUUUACUUUGAAAUUUCUAAAAAUUAGGGUAAGGGAGCUUGCGAUUUACUUAGGAGUGUGGCCAACGAAAUGGAUGUUGG
rnacentral:lncRNA from 1 species